UGUCCCAAUGGUGUCCCCAUGGUGUCCCAAUGGAUGUCCCCAUGGAUGUCCACAAGGAUGUCCCUGUGAUGUCCCCAUGAUGUCCCUGUGAGUGUCCCCAUGGUGUCCCCAUGAUGUCCCCAUGGUGUCCCAAAGGAUGUCCCAAAUGAUGUCCCAAUGGAUGUCCCAAUGGAUGUCCCCAUGAUGUCCUCAUGGUGUCCCCAUGGUGUCCAAAUGGAUGUCCCAAUUGAUGUCCCUAUGAGUGUCUCCAAGAUGUCCCUUGGUGUCCCCAUGGUGUAUAUCCCAAUGGAUAUCCUACUGAAUGUCCCCAUAAUGUCCCCAUGGUGUCCCAGUGAUGUCCCCAUGCCACCUCAUUAUGUCCCCAUGACUGUCCCCAAGGGUGUCCCCACGAUGUCCCCAAGGAUGUCCACAUGGUGUCCCCUGGUGUCCCCAUAGUGUCCCCAUGGUGUUCCCCAUGAGUGUCUCCACGAUGUCCCUUGGUGUCCCCGUGGUGUCCCAAUGGACGUCCCAAUGGAUGUCCCCAUGAUGUCCCCAUGGUGUCCCCAUGACUGUCCCAUGAUGUCCCCAUGGUGUCCCAAUGGAUGGCCCCAUGGUGUCCCGUGGUGUCCCCAUUGUGUCCCCAUGAUGUCCCCAUGCCACCUCAUGCUGUCCCCAUGGAUGUCCUCAUGCUGUCCCAAUGGAUGUCCCCAUGAUGUCCCCAUGGUGUCCCCUGGUGUCCCCAUAGUGUCCCCAUGGUGUCCCCAUGAGUAUCUCCACGAUAUCCCUCGGUGUCCCCAUGGUGUCCCAAUGGACGUCCCAAUGGAUGUCCACAUGGUGUCCCAAUGGAUGUCCCCAUGGUGUCCCGUGGUGUCCCCAUUGUGUCCCCAUUGUAUCCCCAUGANNNNNNNNNNNNNNNNNNNNNNNNNNNNNNNNNNNNNNNNNNNNNNNNNAUGGAUGUCCCCAUGAUGUCCCCACGGUGUCCCCUGGUGUCCCCAUAGUGUCCCCAUGGUGUCCAAAUGGAUGUCCCCAUGAUGUCCCCAUGGUGUCCCAAUGGAUGUCCCCAAGGAUGUCCCCAUGAUGUCCCCAUGAUGUCCCCAUGGUGUCCCCAUAGCGUCCCCAUGGUGUCUCCAUGAGUAUCUCCACCAUGUCCCUUGGUAUCCCCAUAGUGUCCCAAUGGACGUCCCAAUGGACGUCCCCACGAUGUCCCCACAAUGUCCCCAUGAUGUCCCCACGCCACCUCAUGAUGUCCCCCCCCCGUUUCCCCCCCCCAGGCGCUCAGCUGGAGCAGCUGAUGGAGAGAAUGCGUGCGGAGGUGGCCGCCCACCCCCCCGUGGAGGGCGCCUAUGUGCCCCGCAGGGGGGAUUUCUGCAUCGCCAAGUUCGUCGAUGG
rnacentral:lncRNA from 1 species